rnacentral:lncRNA from 1 species
UUAGCUCACUAAUCACUUCAAUUUUUCCACUUAGAAUUUUUGGUAUUUUAAGGUUUUUUUUGAAUUUUUUCCACUUUGAAUUUUUGGCAUUCCAAAAAUAGGAUCAAACACAUCUAGAUAUGAUCUAAAAUGCUAGGAGAGCCUCAAAUGAAGAAUUAGUUAUAAACAAAUAAAUCCCAAGCAUAAUAAUUUACAAAAAAAAACUAGAUCUAGAAUAAAGCUGAGGUGGGUCGUUGGUCAAAUCAAUCUGAGCAACACCUAAUUUCCUUACGCCCCCAAUGCAAAAAUUAUUUUUUUGUUGUCAGAAAAUAAUUUACGCUCGACAAACCCGACCAAAGCGAAGGUAUGGGCACAUGGAAACUUAAACAGACACACAGGCACAGUGAUGAUAGUGUUGGGGCAUGCAAAAUAUGAUUUGCUAUCAUCUUUUGGAGGUGAUAUGGUGAGAAAAGAAUUAUGGAUAUUUUAAUAGGGCUAGAGAUGUAAAGUGGUUGUUGUUUUGAAAUUAGAUAAUCUUAGAAUAAGUUACGACAUUUGAUAAACUUACACUUUUUAUUUUCAACGAACUGAAUUAAAGUUUGGAUUGCUACUCCUAUUAAAUCUUAUCAUAUACAAUUGUGUGGUAAAGGUAUGUAAAAUAUUAUAUUUUAGGAAUACUUGUAUGAAACAAAACUCGAAUGUUAUCCUAAGUUAUGAAUUGUUCAUCAUACUUUAUCUUGUUUUUAGUUUAUAAAUUGGUGUUCUUUGUAUGAGUUGUAAACAAUAAGAACUUUUAGAUGUAAUGUUUCACUCCAUCAUAUGUAUUCUGGGCAAUCAAAUCCCAAAUCCAUAUUUAGAACUACAAAAUAUAUCUCAAUCCCGAGGCCAUGUCCCGAGGCCAUGUCCAACCGCCCAAACAUAUCUCAAUGCAUCCCAUCCCAAACCAAAUCAUAAAUUGUAUUUUCAUAUCAAAGCAGACAUCAACACUUGCAUUGUCUUAAAGUUAACAAAAAAAUUAAUCAAACCAAUACUUAAUAGGUUCAACAAAAAAUAUAGGCAUCUAAACAAAGGCAACUAGUUGACACUGAAAUUGCUUACAAUUUUACAAAGAUUGUAAUUUGGGAUAACUAAGGUAAUUUUAUUGAAAAACAACUCUUAUUCAAGUAUUAAAUGGGCCUUUCGACAAAUUCGCCAAGUAGUGUCUAUUUAAUAGCAUGCACCAAUUCAUUCAAAUUUUAGUAUUUGGAAUCAAAAUGGCACACAUUGAAAUCACUAUUUUGAUCACACAAUAAAAGCAUCAGCAAGUCUGGAUGAGUAUUAAUUUGGGAUACUGGGAGUACUAAUUAGAAUAAAGGCCAAUAUAUGUACCUUGAUUUAGUGACAACCAAAACUAGGAACUGCAGGAAUGGGAGUGACGGCCGUAUCACGGGUCCACUAGCUAUCAGGAAUUUGGUUAGACCACUGAUCACCACCAGAGUAGUCGACAUAGUCACGGGCAGCAGCUGUUUCCUCUUCUUUCUU